GAUCCCUACGGGACGCAGCAGUGAGGAAUAUUGGUCAAUGGGAGAGAUCCUGAACCAGCCAAGCCGCGUGAGGGAAGACGGCCCUAUGGGUUGUAAACCUCUUUUGUCGGGGAACAAAACCCGGGACGUGUCCCGGACCGCGUGUAUCCGAAGAAAAAGCAUCGGCUAACUCCGUGCCAGCAGCCUCGGUAAUACGGAGGAUGCGCGCGUUAUCCGGAUUUAUUGGGUUUAAAGGGUGCGUAGGCGGUCCGUUAAGUCAGCGGUAAAAUUGCGGGGCGCAACCCCGCCGAGCCGUUGAAACUGGG
rnacentral:rRNA from 1 species